AGUGAACGCUGGCGGUAGGCCUAACACAUGCAAGUCGAACGGCAGCACAGGAGAGCUUGCUCUCGGGGUGGCGAGUGGCGGACGGGUGAGGAAUACAUCUGAACCUACUCUGUCGUGGGGGAUAACGUAGGGAAACUUACGCUAAUACCGCCUACGACCUACGAGUGAAAGCAGGGGACCUUCGGGCCUUGCGCGAUUGAAUGAGCCGAUGUCGGAUUAGCUAGUUGGCGGGGUAAAGGCCCACCAAGGCGACGAUCCGUAGCUGGGCUGAGAGGAUGAUCAGCCACACUGGAACAGAGACACGGUCCAGACUCCUACGGGAGGCAGCAGUGGGGAAUAUUGGACAAUGGGCGCAAGCCUGAUCCAGCCAUACCGCGUGGGUGAAGAAGGCCUUCGGGUUGUAAAGCCCUUUUGUUGGGAAAGAAAUCCAGCUGGCUAAUACCCGGUUGGGAUGACGGUACCCAAAGAAUAAGCACCGGCUAACUUCGUGCCAGCCGCCGCCGUAA
rnacentral:rRNA from 1 species